rnacentral:rRNA from 1 species
GACGAACGCUGGCGGCGUGCCUAAUACAUGCAAGUAGAACGCUGAAGAGAGGAGCUUGCUCUUCUUGGAUGAGUUGCGAACGGGUGAGUAACGCGUAGGUAACCUGCCUUGUAGCGGGGGAUAACUAUUGGAAACGAUAGCUAAUACCGCAUAACAAUAGGUGACACAUGUCCUUUAUUUGAAAGGGGCAAUUGCUCCACUACAAGAUGGACCUGCGUUGUAUUAGCUAGUAGGUGAGGUAACGGCUCACCUAGGCGACGAUACAUAGCCGACCUGAGAGGGUGAUCGGCCACACUGGGACUGAGACACGGCCCAGACUCCUACGGGAGGCAGCAGUAGGGAAUCUUCGGCAAUGGGGGCAACCCUGACCGGGCAACGCCGCGUGAGUGAAGAAGGUUUUCGGAUCGUAAAGCUCUGUUGUAAGUCAAGAACGAGUGUGAGAGUGGAAAGUUCACACUGUGACGGUAGCUUACCAGAAAGGGACGGCUAACUACGUG